GCCCUGGCUGUCCUGGAACUAGCUCUGUAGACCAACCUGGCCUCGAACUCACAGAGAUCCACCAGCCUCUGCCUCCUGAGUGCUGAGAUUAAAAGUAUGUGUCACUACUGCCCGACUGAGCCUCUUGUACUAAAGACACUAAGAUGCGAAACUUAUAGAGCCUAUAGCGAGUGCUCAGCUGUCUUCACUGAUGCUUUCACGACCUCCACUGCCGCUGUUAUUGCCAUCACCAUCAUAAAACUUAAUUGUUGGUGACAGAUGGCGCUGAGAAGAUUGUGUUCAUAAGUACAAGACUGAAACCAUAUACCUUUUUUUUCACAUUGUAAAACUUCAAUUCAAAAUUGAACAGAGACCUUAAUGAAAGACAUGAACCUCCUCGAGGAAACCAGGGAAACACAGGAUACGGGCACAGGCAAAGACUUUCUGUAUAAGACUGUUGAUAAAUGUGGGCUGAUGAGGGGUUCAGUGGGUUAGAGCCAAACCUAACACCUGAGUUUAUCCCUGAGGCCCAUGCGGUUGAAGGAGGAAGCCAACUCCUGCAAAUUGUUCUCGGGCCUCAUACAUGUAUGGUGGCAUGUUCUCCUUCCUCUCCCCCAGAGAGCAAUAAUAAUGCAGUAAAAGAAUUGAAAAAUGAUGCUACGCCCUAUUAAAAAGCUGCACAGUUGGAACUCAGAGAGUGACGAAACAGCUUACAGUAUGGGUAGAAGUCUGUUUCCAUGGUGUAUUUCAGUUAUUUAACAAGUGAUUGAUACCCAGAAAUAUAAAACUUUAAAAAUCUAAACACCAAAAGAAGACAUUGACUAAUUGUUGGUCAAAUGAACUGAACAGACAGUUUUCAAAACAAGUACCCAUGACCAAUAAAUACAUGAGAAUAAUGUUCAAGAGCUAGAGAGAUGGCUCAAUCAUUAACACCUGUGUACUGUUUUUCUAGAGGACUACGUUUGGUUCCUAGCACCCAUGUGGGGUGGUUCAUGACCACACAUAACUCCAGCUUUAGCAAUUCUGACACCCUCUUCUGGCUUCUGUGUGCAUCCACGCAUGUCUGACAUUCUCUCUCUCUCUCUCUCUCUCUCUCUCUCUCACACACACACACACACACACACACAGUUCUUUAAAAAACUGUUCAGUAUCUUCAGCCAUCAGUGAAAUGCAAGUCAAAGUUACGUUGAGAUUCUGUCUCACCAGAAUGACUAUGUCAUCAAGAAAACAACAACAAAUAAUAGUGAGGACACUGGGAGCAGGAGAAGAGCCCGUGUAUAUUGUUGUUGGGAAUGUAAUUAGUGCAACCAGUAUGGAAGUUCUUCAAUCUUGUGAUCCAGCUGUACCACUCCUGGGUACAUACCAAAAGUAAGGAUACCACAGCAUACCUGUGCAUCCAUGUUUAUCAUGACACUGUCCUCAGUAGUUGUUAUGGGUUCUACCUAGAUGCCCAUCAACAGAUAAUUGGAUAAAAGUAUGUGCAAGGGAGUGUUAUUCAGUCACAAAAAGAAUGUAAUCAAAUUAUAUGUGCAGGCAAGUAGAACUAGAAAUUAUGUUAAAUAUAGACCCAGAAAGAUAAAUAUUAUGUUUUCUUUCUAGAUUUAAAGAAAAAGAUGUGAAAGUAGAAGGGAGGUUAUUUGUAAAGAGGCAUAGGACCAAUUGGAGGGGGAGAAGAGAGGGCAGUUGGGAAGUGAUAGAAUCAAAUACUUUAUGGACAUGAAUGAAAAUGGUUCACAAAUAAUUAUAUAUAUGUGUGUGUGUGUGUGUGUGUUAAUAAAACCUGAAAAAAAUAGGUAAAUAGAAAGGGCCUAGUCAUGGGAAAACAAGUCCUAAUUGUUGAACUGGCAUAGAACUCAGUGUAAGGGAACUCGCCUGGCGUAUGUUACAUCUGGCAUCAGUCUGAGUUCUGUACCACAGAAAAAGACAAAAUAACGUGCUUUUUUCUAACCAUUUGUGACUUACCUCCUUUGCUGGAUUGUAAGCUCUGAAAUUAGACAUAUGUUUAAAGAGUAAACGUAAUAGGAGGAAGACAAUAUAGAGAGCUAGUGAGAUUAUUGUAGAGAAGCACUGGAGUUUAGGUGUCUUUAGUAUAGCAGAUUAUUUUAUUAAAAGUACUUAAUGAAAAGGGAAGGCAGUGGAGCUUAAGGGCAGAACACUUGCCUAGCAUGUGCUAGGCCCUGUGUUUAUCUCAUCUUCAUUGUGGCGAGGGGGGAAGAGGUGAUAAUAAACCCUGUAGGUUAGUUGGAAAUUUUAUAUAAUUAUUUUGGUUGGUUACACUUACAUACAUUAGUGAUUGAUUGAGUCACCAUGGUCACAUUAAGGAGAGAAAAGCAUUUCUUUCUCCUUGAGAUCAUUUAACCGAGAGCAAAGGCCAAAUCUGAAUUCUCUGCUCAUGCUUUCUGUUUCUUUUGUCCUCUGUCUGUUGAACGAGUGAAUUUGUGCUUGCCUGAAGGCUGUCUUGUAAGUCUGUCCCUGUGUUUAUGUUUUGGUCUACAUGUGUGUGUGUGUGAUUGUGUGUGUGUGUGUGUGUGUGUGUGUGUGUGUCUUAUGUGCUCACUUGCAUCUGUCUGUAUUUCUGUGUGUCUAUCUUUAAUAAAAGGCUUUGUUCUGUAUUUACUGAACAGUACAGAAAGUAUCACAUGGGGAAAGAAUGGGGUACUUUAUAGAAAUCUUUAACAGAUUUUUACAAGGGUUUACAUCACUAGCCCCCAGUGAUCCUAACUGACCCAGGUAAGAAACUACUGCAAACACCAUUGUUUAUCAGCCAUUUCCAUAAAUAGAUACUCAUUUUAGAAGGUUGCUUUCGACCUCAGCAGAGGGUACACAUUCAUUGUUCUGGGUCAGGGGCAUGAAGAGUACAUAAUUUGAGACCAUAGCUCUCCCAUUAGCUUAGACUGCAAAAAGGUGGUUACGUGGGAAAUCCAAGACAAUUAAGGUUGACAUUCCAUUGUUCCAUUAAAGACAGAUUAAGCAGACAGGGUAAGUGCACCCUAAGAUAGCAAUCUUGUAAGUGACUUUCGCUUUGGCUGUGAGGUCCAGUAAAAGUUCCAGACUCUUAGAAUGUGAGAUAUUUUCAUGUUGCAUUGCCACAGUGGUAAAGAGGUUGUGGAACAGAAGUCAGGCUUGUUUUUGUUUUGUUUUCGCAGUCAUAAUGUAUUGAUUGCAAAAACCUUGGUUUGCAAGGACUGUGGACUGUGACUCUUUCCCUAACUUUUCGUGAUGUUUAGUCCCACAUGGUGAUUUUGAUUGUCAGCUAAUGCUGGUGAUUUACGAAAUCGUCUCCAUUCGGUGCUGUGUGAAGAUUUGUUAGAGGUGGAAUCAGACUCUCUAAAGGAUUUACUCCUCCGGAGUGAGCACGUGUGUGCCUGGUAGGGGUGAGCGUUAGCAUGCUUAAGACUGUGCUUUCCUUCCUCAUGUUGCCCAGUUCCUGGCAUUUUUCUUUUAAUUGUGAAUGUUGUAUCUGAUGGCAGAUAUAACCAUUUAAGUUUUCUAUUUUAGGUCAUAAUUUCUAUAUUUCUAAAGUUCUUUAUUAAGAAACAAGUUUUGUUAUUUAAGACCUUUUUAUUGUGAUUUGGUUUUACUUUACUAUUAAUUGUAAAAUGAGAAAACCAAAUAUUUUGAUAGCCUAUUCCUUUCAACAUGAUUAAAUUCUUCUGUUACUUUGAGAGUGAUUUUCUUUGUCCUAGGUGUCCCCUUCUCUAUGAUACAUAAAUAUUUGUCUGUAUUUUUUUAAAAAAAAUAUUACUAUUCCUAGAUGUCAUUAAUCAGAGUGAAUCGUUUUGGUCCCUGGGGAAGUGGAAGAAAAACUCUGAAAGUAAAGAAGAAAGCUGCAGCGAGGCAAGAAUGGGAUAAUACUGUAAAUGGUCUAUGGUCUAACAGUUCACCGGGCAACUCCUGAAGAUCUGGUACACCGUCAUGAGAUACAUAAGUCAAAGAAUAGAGCAUUGGUGCACUGGGAACUUCAAGAAAAAGCUUUGAAGAUAAAAUGGAAGAAACAGAAACCAGAAACUUCAAAUCUUGAAAAAAGAAAAUUAUCUGUCAUGAAAGAGGUCAGGAAAGACAGAUAAGAUGAAAGAUGGAAACUCAGAGGCAGCUGAGAUAAAUUCUGAGAUUUUGUAAUCAGAAUGACAACGGUGUAUAAGUUCACAGGUGAACAUAAAGUAGAGCAAUGCAUAUGAAUCCCUUUAUCCCCUCAGCAUGAGCACAGUUGCUGAAUUGAGGCCAUUUAGGAAUAUCAGAGUGAAGAGUUAACGUGUUUCAGAGAAAACAAGCAAAGGGAAAUGAUGAGUUUGCUUUGCUUUCUUUGGCGUUAUGAUGCUGUGUCUCUGUGAAUAAACUUGCUAUAGAAAUGGAGAUAAAUUUCAUUGAAGUUCACUUUAAAAGCCUAAAGAUGAACCCUAGAAAAAGUCUAAUUUGGAACCCUAGAAAAAGGAAUUCUUAAUUGUCUUGUGCAUACAGUCAAGCAACAUUUUCAGUGUUCUCUUUCUCACUUUCUCUGACUCUGAAUCUUUCUUUUUCUCUCCCUUUUCUCUCCCUCCCUAUCUCCAAAUAGAACACGUCUAUUAUCAUAUUACAUAUAUACUUUGUAAGUACUUUAUAACAACACGUCUAUUAUCAUAUUACAUAUAUACUCUGUAAGUACUUUAUAACACCACGUCUAUUAUCAUAUUACAUAUAUACUCUGUAAGUACUUUAUUACUUAGUUGAGUGAAAUGAUAUGUAAAGCAUGAGCUUACAAAUACACAAAAAUUUUAUGAACCGAGAAAGGCAGUGGCUCUUCUAUGAAAUUAUACUUCUGUAAAGUGUUACCAGCAAAGAUAUUCUGUAUAUAUUUCUUUAGGAAUUUUGGUUAGUUUCUAAAAUAAAAACAACUUAAUAAUUAGCUGUAUAAUAUAAUGUAUUAUCAAAAAGCUAUAUAUUUGCAGUUAUAAAUGUCAUUUCCCUUCAACUUAAUUUGAAAAUCUUUAGCAACAUAUUUAUAUAUGAAGACAAAAUUCUGAUGAAUUUACAUGCAUUAUUUGAAUAUAUAUUUCUCUGGUUUGAACAUCUAUAGACAUUAAAAGGACAGAAUUUCCAUCAAUAAAGACCUUAAAGUUAUCAUAGUGUAAAUACAAUUAUGGAGUGUUGAGAAUCAGUGGAUUCAAAAUAAUACAAGAUGUUCUGUUAAGACAAGGUUUGCCCAGAAUACACCAAAGCUUUGUAAUCAAUAAUGUAAUACUUUUUCCAAAAUAUUAAUAGAUAACAGAAACUCAGUGAUUAUUCAAUAGAAAGCUAAGGUACUGAGAAUAAUAGGUACACACACACACACAAAAAAAAAAUGAAAUUUAUGGUAUAAAUACUGAGUUUUCAAAGACUGAGUUAUUUUAUAGUCUCUUACAUUUUGAAACAAACCUAUAAAAUUGAACCAACUAAUAAAUCAGACAAAUCUGGUUUAUUACUCACAGAAAGACAACAAGAAAAAGCAGAAAGCAAGGGAUCCAUGGCCAAUUGUCCCCGAAAAGUUAAGGAACUCAGCCACAGUGAAUGAAAUCAUCUCCAUGUGUCCAAGAACCACUGCAUCUUAGGGAUCCCAAGGCACCCCAUUACUGCUUUACAUGCUUGAUGUCACUUGGAGUGCUGUGUUAAAGCAUUGUUGAUUACCUUGUUCGAUGACAAAAGAAGACAUGGUCUGGGAUGUUAUGGACUCAUUCUUAUCUCAGUAUAUUGUGUUUUGCCAAAUUUACAGUUUUUUAUAGAGACUAUUGAAACAGGAAGUCCCACCCUAAAUUUGGAUAGCAUAUUUUAUUGUUGUGUCAGAGAACAGGACAUAGAGGAAAGACUAACCCAGACCACUGGUGUGGGAGAAUUGUCUGUAUUCUGUCAAUCAUGUAUUUUAAUAAAACGCUGAUUGGCCAGGCAG